rnacentral:rRNA from 1 species
AUUGAACGCUGGCGGCAGGCCUAACACAUGCAAGUCGAACGAGUGGCGGACGGGUGAGUAAUGUCUGGGAAACUGCCCGAUGGAGGGGGAUAACUACUGGAAACGGUAGCUACUACCGCAUACCAUCGGAUGUGCCCCGAUGGGAUUAGCUUGUAGGUGAGGUAACGGCUCACCUAGGAGACGAUCCCUAGAGGGUCUGAGCGGAUGACCAGCCACACUGUAACUGAGACACGGUCCAGACUCCUCCGGGAGGCAGCAGUGGGGAAUAUUGCACAAUGGGCGCAAGCCUGAUGCAGCCAUGCCGCGUGUAUGAAGAAGGCCUUCGGGUUGUAAAGUACUUUCAGCGGGGAGGCGUUACCCGCAGAAGAAGCCCCGGCUAACUCCGUGCCAGCAGCCGCGGUAAUUC